rnacentral:rRNA from 1 species
AGUGAACGCUGGCGGUAGGCCUAACACAUGCAAGUCGAACGGCAGCACAGUAAGAGCUUGCUCUUACGGGUGGCGAGUGGCGGACGGGUGAGGAAUACAUCGGAAUCUACUUUUUCGUGGGGGAUAACGUAGGGAAACUUACGCUAAUACCGCAUACGACCUACGGGUGAAAGCAGGGGAUCUUCGGACCUUGCGCGAUUGAAUGAGCCGAUGUCGGAUUAGCUAGUUGGCGGGGUAAAGGCCCACCAAGGCGACGAUCCGUAGCUGGUCUGAGAGGAUGAACGCCCCAACUGAAAUGGAGACACGGCCAGGCCCCCUCGGGAGGGCGGCGUGGGGAAUAUUUGACAAAGGGGGGCAAGCCUAUUCCAGCAUUCCGCGGGGGGUGAAGAGGCCCUUCGGUUUGUAAGCCCUUUUGUUGGGAAAGAAAAGCAGCAGGUUAAUACCCCGCUGUUCUGACGGUACCCAAAGAAUAAGCACCGGCUAACUUCGUG